CAGAGAUGAUUUCGGCUCAUCAUCAGUGACCAUCCUCACGAGUUUUCUGUUAUGGCAGGGUGCAAUGCGCCAUGAAGGUGCGCGACAGCACCGUGCGAUCACCACUACAGCCCAACACUGCGGACCAGAAGGACGCAAAAGGCUUCACCGGACUCGAGGGUUCACUUUGUUUGUUUUGUCUGCAGUUGCCCCAUAACAACGAGCGCUUCGUCUCAUGCAACCAACACAUUGUGCCACGAGUCCGCGUGGUGUGCGCGUUCCCAGGCGUUGGCUCUGGCCGCCCCUGUUCCCCCGCUGGCCACCCCCUGUUGCUUGCUCGGCCCCCUUGGUUGGCUGCUUGCCGCCCCUGGUGGGCUGCCGGCGUGUCGAUCACUGAUGUCCCAGACAACAUUCGAGUCCUGAAGGCAGUCCACUGCGGUGGUUCGGAUGCUGAACUGCUUCCGGCAGGUUCCGCAUUAGUGAACGGGAACCUCCAAUUCAAUAGGCUGGUCCCACGUCACCACGGUGAUCGGACAAG
rnacentral:lncRNA from 1 species